rnacentral:lncRNA from 1 species
AGUGAUGUGAAGUACGACUCUAGUAUACUGUAGUCAACAACCGAUCAAGUAGCGUCCUAAGGUGUUAGAUUCCCAGAGCAUUGACAUGCUCAAGCCCUUGAGAGAAGCAUCAACUUUGGACAAGGUCAAGUGCUAAAAAUUGCAUGCUGUCUUCAUCCUUGUUCUCUCACAAAAGAAUCUACCUGCAACAAAAAAAUUCUUGAAGUUUCCAUGUAUAAGAUGGAGACAAAUCUCCGACAUUAUUCAAUAUUGGAUAUCUAGACUCAUAAAAAUUGACAAUGACAAGUCAUGCCUACCAAAACUAAGAAUUGAGGUGUCAUAAAGAUCUAAAUCCCGAUCAAGACAUGUAAAAACUCAAUCGUCUUCAAACUGUGCACCUGUGUGAAGGAAUAUGCUUAUGUUAAGCCUCGAAUUGAGGCCAUACACGUGGCAUCAUCUCAGGAGCUCACCUAAAGAGCUAUUUGUGAUCAAAGAUGAAAUGAGGAAGUAAAGGGAAGGACACAUGGUAAAGAUGGGUAUGGAGGAUAAGCUUUUUGUGUGGAGGUGAAGCUGGGUAUUUACCUAUAAAAGGAUACAAGAAUGAACAGAGAAAGAACUAUUACUUUUUAAAUGGAACUAUGGAAGAGAGAGAACCUUUGGACCUCUAGAAACGACUUCUACUCUUCUGGGAACUUUAUUUCUUGGGAUUUUUGUAGAGCUCCUGUGUAGAAAGGGGAAAUAUGAGUUUGAGAAGGUUCCAUUCUGGGAAACAGAGAGUGAAUUAAGGAGAGAUCUCAAUUUCAGUCUGGGUUCUACUUUUUUUAGUGAAAUCUAAGGAGGGAGUUGUGAGGAGGUUGCAACUAUUACAACUGGAGAUUGCAAUAGAUUCCUUGGUUAUAAUUCUGCUCCUUAUGGUAAACCUCAAUCCGAGGCAAAAAAUCUUUUCAGGAAGAGAUGUUAUACAGAACUAAAUCAGCUCAAGACAAAUCAAAAGACAAGGAAAUCAGGGAGUACCAAAUCUUGGUGUUGUUGCAUGCUCUGCCAGAGAUACUACCCUUCAACCAUGUCUUGAAGUUUCUCCAACUUUUGAGUUUCUCCAUCAUGGCAAGAAUAGGAAGAAUGGUCCUACAAAUUCUUCUUGUUUGCUGCUCUUCCUAAACCAGAUUGCCUCUCAAUGAAAAUGAAGAAGAUACAAUCCUGUUAUCCAUGUGCUCCAGAACAUUUAGAUUCCCAAGACCUAAAGACUCGAGAGAAGAGAAUUGACUGGCUAUUAGAUGGAUUCAGUAAAAUUUGUUCCUUGCUCAAGUGGUAUGUUGUCGUUUUA